CUAAGAAUAUUCCGCAAUGGACGAAAGUCUGACGGAGCGACGCCGCGUGGAUGAAGAAGGCCGAAAGGUUGUAAAAUCCUUUUGCUGAUGAAGAAUAAGUGGUGUAGAGAAUGACAUCAUGAUGACAUUAGUCGGUGAAUAAGCCCCGGCUAACUACGUGCCAGCAGCCGCGGUAACACGUAGGGGGCAAGCGUUGUUCGGAAUUAUUGGGCGUAAAGGGCAUGUAGGCGGUUUGGUAAGCCUGGUGUGAAAUCCUGCAGCUUAACUGUAGAAUUGCAUUGGGUACUGCCAGACUUGAAUCACAGAGGGGAAACUAGAAUUCCAGGUGUAGGGUGGAAUCUGUAGAUAUCUGGAAGAAUACCGGUGGCGAAGGCGGGUUUCUAGCUGAUGAUUGACGCUGAG
rnacentral:rRNA from 1 species